CGAUUUUAUAAAAGUUUGAUUCUUUCUUUAGUUUUUGCUAAAAGUUGUUUUUACAUGUGAGUUUUUGCUUGCAAAAUUUAUUUUCUAAAUGGGAAUUUAUUUUUAUAAAGUCGCAGUAUUUAAUGUUGUAUAAUUUAGUAACUUAAGAUAAAGACAAUUUUUUUAGUUCUGACAAAGUUCGUGCCAGCAGUCGCGGUUAUACGAUAGGGGCAAGCAUAAAUUUUUGGUUUGCAUUAUUUUUAAUUUUGUUGGGUUUUAAAUUUAAUUUGUUAGGUGAAAUUUCAAUUUUAUUUUUAAUUUUGGUUUAAUUAUUAUAUGUGAAAGUUAUUUCUUAGACUAGGAUUAGAUACCCUAUUAUUUUUUCUGUAAAUUUAUAACCUUGGUAUUAAUAGUUAUGAUCUUAAAAUUUAAAGAAUUUGGCGGUAAUUUAAUCUUACCAGAGGAACCUGUCCUGUAAUUGAUAAUCCACGUUGAAUUUCACUUUACUUUUGUUUGUAUAUCUCUGUCAUUGAAUGUCUUUUAAGGGUUAAUUUUCUAUAAUCUUUUUUGGUAAAAUGUAGGUCAAGGUGCAGCUAUAGUAAAGUAGAGAUGGGUUACAUUUAAUUUAUUAUUGAAUUUUAUUAUGGAAAUAAUUAAUGAAAUUGGAUUUGGAAGUAAUUUUUAUUAGAAAAUAAUUUUGAUUUUAGCUCUAAAUUAUGUACACAUCGCCCGUCGCUCUCGUUUAUUAAGAUGAGAUAAGUCGUAACAAAGUAGGCCUACCGGAAGGUGGGCCUAGUAUGAAAU
rnacentral:ncRNA from 1 species